ACUUGAAAAUUUGAUCAUUAACCCUGUGUCCCAAAACCUCACGUCACGCCUGGUAUUAGUAUCUCCUCUUGAACUUGGCGACUCCUGUCCACUCCCCCGUAAAUCGUGAUUGCAUUCGGUUCUUCAAUAAAAUGUCUUGAUUUUCUUUGUCCAUUUUUUCAUUUCCUUUUUUUAAUGUGCAUUUUAUCUGCAAAAAUGGCGCAGACUUUUAAAAGAGCCAGUUGAGAAAGUGCCUAAAUUUCACAGUUUCCAGCCUUUCCCAAAUCAUUAAGCUCUUUUCUGACUUGGGUAUUCGCUCUAAUGGCGGUGGGUGUUGUUGGGUUGCUUAGAACAGCAUGGGUUGCAGCGACUAUGCCCAUACUCGUAGCCGCCGUACCUUGUUCUUGGCUGACCUCGUUUCAUGGAGCUGUUCUGGGGUUUGCCAAGAGAGGGAAGAUCAUGCAGUCGUCAUCUCAGUUCACAGUUCCUCAAAAGUUGUUCUGCCAUUUCUAUGUGGUGGCUGUAGCGUGGACAACGCUAUUGCUCGUUGCAACUUCGAUGUAUGCGUAUAAAACGGUGCCAUUGGUUUCAGAAUCGUUGCUUUACCCUUCAAUCGCCAGCCACUUCACUGGAGGUUCACAUAUCUUUUCAUGGGACAAGGUUCAUUCGGUUCCUGUCAGUUACAGAUAUAGCAUAUGGCGUUCGGUCUUUCUGCUUUUAUUGAUGGAGGUUCAAGUCUUGAGGCGCCUCUUUGAGACAAUAUAUGUGUUCAACUAUAGCUCCUCCGCUCGGAUGCACAUUUUCGGAUAUCUGACCGGCCUCUUCUUCUACACAGCAGCACCACUGUCACUUUGCUGCAAUAAUGUUCUGGAGGUUUAUAAAUUUUCAAUAAGUGGAGUGGCUGAGUUCAUUGUCAAGGGCAAGAGUAGCAUGCGACAAGUGGAAUUUGAUUGGUUACAAUUUGUGAACUCUCUUUUGAAGCUUGGUUGGCUCCAGUGGAUUGGUGCAGCUAUAUUUUUUUGGGGUUGGAUCCAUCAGCGCCGAUGUCACACAAUUCUUGGCUCAUUACGAGAUCACAGUGAGCCAAAUGAUGAAUAUGUGAUUCCUCAUGGUGAUUGGUUUGAAAUUGUUUCAUCUCCACACUAUCUGGCUGAGAUAGUUAUAUAUGCUGGCCUUGUAGUCGCUAGUGGAGGAACAGAUCUCACAAUCUGGUUACUUUUUGGAUUUGUGGUGUCCAACUUAGUAUUGGCAGCAGCGGAAACACAUAGGUGGUACCUCCAGAAAUUUGAAAGUUAUCCCAAGAAACGGCUCGCCAUUAUUCCAUUUGUUUACUAAGCGCAAACUUACAAAAGCUAGUGCAAAGGUGAUUGAGUGUAAAGCUUUGUGAGUCCGCACUAUUCGAUUCAAAUGAACAAAAGUUGCAGGAGCAGCAAGUCGGAGGAUUUUGAAUUCCAUGCUUAUGCGUACACAUCUAAGCCCCAAGUCUUGGAAGGUAGACUGGUACGACAUUUCCUGUCUAUACUGUUUAUGACCUCCAUGUCUUCAUGACUCAGCUGGAAUUCAAGAACCUCCAAAUUCUCUUUCAAUCUCUGAAUUUUUGAUGACUUUGGAAUCACUGCUGUUUUCCUUUGAAUUCCCCACCUCAGACAGAUUUGUGCCACAGUCUUUCCGUACUUCUUAGCCACAUCCUGAAAAUGAAACACUCAAGAAACAGAGAUUGUUAUAUCGUAAUUACGACAUGUGAAUGGUGCAUGUGUAAAACAGAGAAUACAUUGAGAACUGGAUCAUCCAAAGGUGAAAUUGAACCAAACAUAUCCUUGUUGGCCGCAGCACCUCCGAGAGGGGUGUGAGCUGUGGGAAGAACACCGUGUUUCAAGCAGAAUUUGACGAGAGAGUGGCGCUGGAAGUAGGGGUGAGUUUCAAAUUGGCUCACUGCA